rnacentral:rRNA from 1 species
GACGAACGCUGGCGGCGUGCUUAACACAUGCAAGUCGAACGGAAAGGCCCUGCUUUUGUGGGGUGCUCGAGUGGCGAACGGGUGAGUAACACGUGAGUAACCUGCCCUUGACUUUGGGAUAACUUCAGGAAACUGGGGCUAAUACCGGAUAGGAGCUCCUGCUGCAUGGUGGGGGUUGGAAAGUUUCGGCGGUUGGGGAUGGACUCGCGGCUUAUCAGCUUGUUGGUGGGGUAGUGGCUUACCAAGGCUUUGACGGGUAGCCGGCCUGAGAGGGUGACCGGCCACAUUGGGACUGAGAGACGGACCAGACUCCUACGGGAGGCAGCAGUGGGGAAUAUUGCACAAUGGGCGGAAGCCUGAUGCAGCAACGCCGCGUGCGGGAUGACGGCCUUCGGGUUGUAAACCGCUUUCGCCUGUGACGAAGCGUGAGUGACGGUAAUGGGUAAAGAAGCACCGGCUAACUACGU